rnacentral:rRNA from 1 species
CAGUAGCCACGGUAAUACGUAGGGUGCAAGCGUUAAUCGGAAUUACUGGGCGUAAAGCGUGCGCAGGCGGUGUUGUAAGACUGAUGUGAAAUCCCCGGGCUCAACCUGGGAACUGCAUUGGUGACUGCAACGCUGGAGUGCGGCAGAGGGGGAUGGAAUUCCGCGUGUAGCAGUGAAAUGCGUAGAUAUGCGGAGGAACACCGAUGGCGAAGGCAAUCCCCUGGGCCUGUACUGACGCUCAUGCACGAAAGCGUGGGGAGCAAACAGGAUUAGAUACCCCCGUAGUCCCUGUCUCUUAUAC